rnacentral:rRNA from 1 species
GACAGAGCCUCGAGCGUUAGGCGGAAUCACUGGGCUUAAAGCGUGUGUAGGCGGAUCGUUAAGUACCUUGCGAAAUCCCACGGCUCAACCGUGGAACGGCUGGGUAUACUGGCGGUCUUGGGCCAUUCAGGGGCGACUGGAACAAGCGGUGGAGCGGUGAAAUGCGUAGAUAUCGCUUGGAACGCCGAAGGUGAAAACAGGUCGCUGGGGAUGUGCCGACGCUGAGACACGAAAGCCAGGGGAGCAAACGGG